rnacentral:rRNA from 1 species
UACGAAGGGGGCGAGCGUUGUUCGGAAUUACUGGGCGUAAAGGGCUCGUAGGUGGCCAACUAAGUCAGACGUGAAAUCCCUCGGCUUAACCGGGGAACUGCGUCUGAUACUGGAUGGCUUGAGUUCGGGAGAGGGAUGCGGAAUUCCAGGUGUAGCGGUGAAAUGCGUAGAUAUCUGGAGGAACACCGGUGGCGAAGGCGGCAUCCUGGACCGACACUGACGCUGAGGAGCGAAAGCCAGGGGAGCAAAGCGGG